rnacentral:rRNA from 1 species
AAUAGAUACCCCGGUAGUCCACGCCGUAAACGUUGGAUACUAGGUGUGGCGGUUAUACCAAUGACUGCCGUGCCGAAGCUAACGCAUUAAGUAUCCCGCCUGGGGAGUACGGCCGCAAGGCUAAAACUCAAAGGAAUUGACGGGUCCCCGCACAAGCGGCGGAGCAUGCGGCUUAAUUCGAUGCAACCCGAAGAACCUUACCUGGGUUUGACAUCACGGGAAAAGCUGUAGAAAUACAGUGUCCAUUAGGGCCCGUGACAGGUGGUGCAUGGCUGUCAUCAGCUCGUGUCGUGAGAUGUUGGGUUAAGUCCCGCAACGAGCGCAACCCUUGUCCUAUGUUGCCAGCGGUUCGGCCGGGGACUCAUAGGAGACUGCCGGGGAUAACUCGGAGGAAGGUGAGGACGACGUCAAGUCAUCAUGCCCCUUAUAUCCAGGGCUGCACGCAUGCUACAAUGGCCGGUACAACGGGCAGCGACCCCGCGAGGGUGAGCGAAUCCUAAAAAGCCGGUCCUAGUUCGGAUUGAAGUCUGCAACUCGACUU